rnacentral:lncRNA from 1 species
GUAAAAGAUACAUUUCAAAAAAGAAAUAAUUGUUUUAACCAGUGUAAAAUAUUGUAAAAUUCUGCUGUUGUCUGUUAUAUGGUCGGGUUGUUGUCUCUUUGACACAUUCCCCAUUUCCAUUCUCAAUUUUAAAAUAUAUAUUAGUAUUGAUCUCAUCUAUUUAUUAUGGUAUGAAAAAAGCAUGAUUGCGCACAAGUUUCAUGACAUUGCUUUGAAGCAGACUUUCGAGAAUGGAAACGAAAUAUUGUAUAAGUUUCACAAUAUUUUACUGAGGCAAACUACAGUAAGAGAAUAGAAACAUAAAAAUCAGUAUUUUUUCUAUAUAUACAGGGCAUAACUCUAGAACAGUAAAAGUGACGCCACCAAAUUAAAACCAGAUCUGUGUUUAACAUAUAAAGUAUAACAUUCUGUGCCAUAUCUAGAUUUGUAGUAAAAUAUUUGUGCAUACGAUUCAUAAAAUUUUCAUGAUUGAAGGCAAACCAAAGUUAGAGAACAGAUACCUAUUUUGGGACAUACAGACAUACAGACAGACAAGGGUAAACUUAAUGCACCCACAGCUAUAGUUGUUCAAACCAGCAUUUAAGGACAAUAACUCCUACAAGGAGUAAACAAACAAUUUGGUCAUAUUGAUUUAUUGGAAGAUUUUGUCAUGCAGAUCAUUUUUACUUGACUCAGUCUCCAUCUUUUGUUCAUUUCACUCAAUUUCUCUCCAUCUUUUGUUCAUUUCACUCAGUUGGUCUCCAUCUUUUGUUCUUUCACUCAGUUUCUCUCCAUCUUUUGUUCAUUUCACUCAGUUGCUCUCCAUCUUUUGUUCAUUUCACUCAGUUUCUCUCCAUCUUUUGUUCAUUUCACUCAGUUUCUCUCCAUCUUUUGUUCAUUUCACUCAGUUUCUCGCCAUCUUUUGUUUACACAAGGAUAACAGAACAUUUUUUCAUAAUAAGGUAAGUAACAAAUAAAUUAGUUAGAUAAAAUGAUCAACUGAAAAUUGAUUUGAGGUAGUCAAAAUAUUACAUGUAUUAUAACAAUGUUUGACAUGAUUUAUGAACACAAGUUGUGCAGUGGUUGUCUAGUUUACUUUUAUGCUAUAAUUGUGUAAUUAUAUUUGAUAGUAAAACAUACCAAUUCU